CCUCAUCCUGGAAACCAAGGGCAUCGCGUACACGCUCAGUGGCAAUAAAGUGGAAGUUGCCGUCAAACAGAUCAUCGCUCGAAAAGCCAUGGAGCAACGAGGUGCUUUCUCGAACCCCGAGGCCCUGCAUCUGUACUGGGACAUCCCUGAGCUGAAUGGCUUCUGAGUCGGACUGGCUGGCACAGGGAGGAUGGAAACCUUGAAUGGCCUGGCGCAGGAGUCCCUGGCUUGCAGUGUUUCUCUCGCCCUUGAUGGGAGCUUCAGGUUCUUGCCAAAGUAUGUAUCACAUAAUUGCUUUCAUGUUCAGACACGGCAAGAGUGGGUUGUAAAUGACUGCGACGCCGAUGUCACAAUUCUGUUAGGCCUGGUUGACCUUGCAAAUUGAAUUCAGGGAGGGCAGUGCUUCUAUCUGGCUGCUAGAUUUAUUGUUCCCAGUCUGGGGAGAGGCCUGGGGAGGCGUGGUAUGGGAUUUCUGUGCCUAGGCAGCCACUCCAGCUUGUCCUGUGCUGCCUCCCUCCUUUCCAUCUUGGUGUCUUCCUCAGCUCUCGAAACAGAAGGCAGCAGCCCAUGAUUGAUGGGCUCCGGCCCGCUGGGGUGUUAUUAACCACUCUGUCAAGGUGACAAUGUCAUUUUUAAUGUUCCAUCUUCAGACUUGAGGCUUAUUCUUAGGUUGAGAGUUAGCCAACCUUGACAGAGAUAGAACCCCUAAAAGUUUAAGACGUGGUUCUUGACCCUGGCUGCUGGGGAGCUUGCAACAAUACCGGUUUCCAUGAGGGUACCUUCUGGGAUGCAGGAAAUGUUAGAUGUCUUUAUCCACGUGGUGGUUACUUGAGUUCAUAUAUGUGUAGCAAAAACUUGGGCUUUGGUGAGGAUAUGGAGAAACUGAACCCUGGUGCCUUACUGGUGGGAAUGUAAAUUGGGGCAGCUGCUGUGGAAACACACUGGUGGCUCCUCAAAAAGUUAAACAUGUAAUUACCCUGUGAGCCAGGAAUUGCACUCCUAGGUAUAUACCCAAAAGAACUGAAAGCAAGGACAGAAGCAGAUGCUUGUAAGCUAAUGUUUGUAGCAGCGUUAUUCACAACCACCAAAAGGUGGAAACAACACAAGCAUUUGCUGAUGAAUGGUUACUGUUCUGUCCCUACAAUAGAAUGUUAUUCAGCCACGAAAAGGAAUGAAGUUCUGACACACACUGCAAUGUGUAUGAACCUUGAACCCAUUAUCGUGACAGACACUGGUCACAAAAUGACAAAUACUGUAUGAUUCCACUUACAUGAAAUACCCAGAAUAGUCACAUUCACAGGGACAGAAAGUAGACCAGAGCUUAUUCAGGGAAGGGGAGAGAGAAGGAAUGGGGAGUGAAUAUUUAAUGGGUACAUAGUUUUAGUUUGGAAUGAUGAAAAGUUUCUAGAAAUGGAUGGUGGUGACUUUUGCAUAACACUGUGAAUGUACUUAAUGCCACUGAACUGUACACUUAAAAAUGGGUGGAGUGGCAAGUUUUACGUUAUGUAUAUUUUACCAUAAUAAAGAUAUUUGAGAUGUACAGUUAAAAUUUUUGCUGUGGACUAUAAAUGUAUGUUUUACCUGAAUUGUAAAAUCUGAUUUCUA
rnacentral:lncRNA from 1 species